rnacentral:rRNA from 1 species
GACAGAGGGGGCAAGCGUUGCUCGGAAUCACUGGGCUUAAAGGGCGCGUAGGCGGGUUCGCAAGUCUGUGGUGAAAGCCUCCAGCUUAACUGGAGAAGUGCCAUGGAUACUGCGAAUCUUGAGGAGGGUAGGGGCAUCUGGAACGGUCGGUGGAGCGGUGAAAUGCGUUGAUAUCGACCGGAACUCCGGUGGCGAAGGCGAGGUGCUGGACCCUUUCUGACGCUGAGGCGCGAAAGCCAGGGGAGCAAACGGG